UCGAAUGAUUGUCCAGUUGAGGGUUUUUGGUGAUCAGUACCUAACGUCUUGUUUCUGUCUGCUACAGUUUCUUCCUGUGUGUUGAGUCGCUGCCAACCCUGCAUACUUGUUUGCUUGCCCACCAGCCUUCCUGCCAGCCCUGAACAGAGCUCUAGGACUUUUAAUCAUUAAUUGGUUCAGUGUUUUCUGUUUUUAGUUUGUUAAAUUCUCCCUUGUGUGUUGCUGUGUACAUGACUUCCUGUGUUAUUUUGUAGUGAUCUGUUUCAUGUCAUCUGAUUAACCUGAUGUGUUACACCUGUCCGCUCCCUUCCUGCUCAUUUGCCCUUGAUUAAAUGUGCUCUGUUCUGUUUAGUCUUCGCUGUGUCUCUGUGUGCUCCCGGCUUUUGGGACUCAGUUUGGACUUUUGUUUUGGAUUAAACAUUAUUACUGCACCAGCAUUUCUGAUGUCUUGCAUUUGGGUCCACCUCUCGGUAUCUGCCUCAGCACUUGGCCAUGGACCAUGACAAACACAGCUGAGGCUGCAGGUUCUGAUGUUUGAUCAUGAGCAUUCCUUCAAUGAAAAGGCAUCAUACCAUCUAUCUCAGUCGCACUCCACACGUGUGUGAUGACUCAUACCGCUGUUUCUCUCCGAGCCCCAGUGUGAAGGAGCAGAAAGGGGCGGCUGGACCUUGUCCUUGUAAAUGUAGAUAAACAAGCCUGCCAAAAUGUCAAACUAUUCCUUCAAGUGAACAUCAUGACCUGAUAACUCUAUCACAGUCAUCUCAACCUGCAGUUUACAGUGUGUGUGUGGUUCCCUGACGUACUUUGAUCUCAGCUGACAGUGAAGAGGCAGGUUGGACUGGAGAAGCAGAGUGACACCUGGAAACAGCUGGACAGACAGAUGUUCCUACCUGGACGUGGUGUGUGGCAGCACAGAUUUCCACAUCAGCAUCAGGACUACUAAACAUGACAACAUGUUCCCGCGGAUUCGUGUCGGGGGGGAAAUAUUAAACGAUAAAUCAACAUGUCCAGUAACUUUGGCUUUGUGAAUGUAGACACUCAAUGAGAUUUUAGUGAUGCAUUUAACUUGUUUCACACAAACGCUAUUUUUAUUCUUAUUUUUUUUCGAGGAGAAAGUGAAUCCUGCUGUCUGUGAUCACCUUCACUGUGUUUUAAUGCAGCUAAAUUCAUCAUACACUUGUUCUCAUUGACACAUUUUCUGUCUCUGUUGUUAGACAAGUCCGUAAGGAUGAACUUUGUGGUGGCUCAAACACAAUGUUGACCAGCAGUUGUUAGCGAGCUGCUGAGCUGCAGAUAAAAUUUCAUGAUCCGGAAAUCGUCAGACAUAAUAUUAUUGGUUAAAAUAAUACUGGUUAAUAGAGGGCCUCCCUCCCUUCUGCCCCAUAGGACCUUAUUUCAGAAAAAAUAUGUAUGUUAGUCAAUGGUAACAGAACUUUUUUAAAAUCC